GUGUGAACACGUUGUCUCUGGCAGCAGCAGUAGAACAGUGGUAGAACAGUAGUAGCACAGUCUUAGUUCAUAUAAGCGCAGUCACUGUUUACACGUGUACGGUCGCAGUCACUGUGAAGCGUCGCAGAGAACAAAGUGAACGAAGGGUGGCACUACCCAAAAAAAUAACAACAAAUAAAGAUACAGAAAGUGGGAGAGGGUAACACGGAGAGAGAGAGAGAGAGAGGGAGAGAAGCAGAUGUUAGCUGGCAAAUAUGAAUCGCAUGUGAAAUGACUUUAUUUGUGUCAACAAAACUCGAAAACGAAACUCGAAAACAAAACCAAAUUAAACAGCAUUUUACUCGCAUCGGCAGCAACCGUAGCAGCAGCAGCAACACAACAACACAACAACAACAACAGCAGCUGGCAAACAGCAUUGAACAACAAUUGACAUCACGCAUUCGCCGCGUUUGACGCCGCAACAUUUUUGCGCUGCAAAACGCAACAAUUUUUGUGUGUUAAUUGGUCGUGGCGAAUGGUGUCGCACGAAUUGCGAAUAAAGUUGCAGCACAGCAGCAACUGAAGCGCAACGGCCAAGAAUAAUAUAGCACCAGCGGCGGCAGCUGACACAAGCAACAACAGCAACAACAGCAACAACUUGCG